rnacentral:rRNA from 1 species
CCUACGGGUGGCAGCAGUGAGGAAUAUUGGUCAAUGGACGAGAGUCUGAACCAGCCAAGUAGCGUGAAGGAUGACUGCCCUAUGGGUUGUAAACUUCUUUUAUAUGGGAAUAAAAUGUUCCACGUGUGGGAUUUUGUAUGUACCAUAUGAAUAAGGAUCGGCUAACUCCGUGCCAGCAGCCGCGGUAAUACGGAGUAUCCGAGCGUUAUCCGGAUUUAUUGGGUUUAAAGGGCGCGUAGGUGGAUUGUUAAGUCAGUUGUGAAAGUUUGCGGCUCAACCGUAAAAUUGCAGUUGAAACUGGCAGUCUUGAGUACAGUAGAGGUGGGCGGAAUUCGGGGUGUAGCGGUGAAAUGCUUAGAUAUCACGAAGAAGUCCGAUUGCGAAGGCAGUUCACUGGACUGCAACUGACACUGAGGCUCGAAAGUGUGGGUAUCAAACAGGAUUAGAUACCCUUGUAGUC